AAAGGAAUAGACGGGGGCCCGCACAAGCAGCGGAGCAUGUGGUUUAAUUCGAAGCAACGCGAAGAACCUUACCAGGGCUUGACAUCGCCUGAGGUUGGUAGAAAUACCGAUGUUCCUACGGGACAGGCAGACAGGUGGUGCAUGGUUGUCGUCAGCUCGUGUCGUGAGAUGUUGGGUUAAGUCCCGCAACGAGCGCAACCCCUAUCUCUAGUUGCCAUCAUUGAGUUGGGGACUCUAGAGAGACUGCCGGGGACAACUCGGAGGAAGGUGGGGACGACGUCAAAUCAUCAUGCCCCUUAUGUCCUGGGCUACACACGUGCUACAAUGGCCAUCACAAAGAGCCGCGAAGUCGUAAGGCGGAGCGAAUCUCAAAAAGGUGGUCUCAGUUCGGAUUGUGGGCUGCAACUCGCCCACAUGAAGUCGGAGUUGCUAGUAAUCGCGAAUCAGCAUGUCGCGGUGAAUACGUUCCCGGGCCUUGUACACACCGCCCGU
rnacentral:rRNA from 1 species